rnacentral:rRNA from 1 species
AAACCAACAGGGAUUGCCCUAGUAACGGCGAGUGAAGCGGCAACAGCUCAAAUUUGAAAUCUGGCCCUCGUGGUCCGAGUUGUAAUUUGCAGAGGAUGCUUUUGGUGCGGUGCCUUCCGAGUUCCCUGGAACGGGACGCCAGAGAGGGUGAGAGCCCCGUACGGUUGGACACCUACCCUAUAUAUAGCUCCUUCGACGAGUCGAGUAGUUUGGGAAUGCUGCUCUAAAUGGGAGGUAAAUUUCUUCUAAAGCUAAAUACCGGCCAGAGACCGAUAGCGCACAAGUAGAGUGAUCGAAAGAUGAAAAGCACUUUGAAAAGAGGGUUAAAUAGCACGUGAAAUUGUUGAAAGGGAAGCGUUUGCGACCAGACCUUUUCCAGGCGGAACAUCCGGUGUUCUCACCGGUGCACUUCGCCUGGUUUAGGCCAGCAUCGGUUUCCUUAGGGGGAUAAAGGCCUUGGGAACGUAGCUCUUUAGGGAGUGUUAUAGCCCUUGGCGCAAUACCCCUCGGGGGACCGAGGACCGCGCUCUGCAAGGAUGCUGGCGUAAUGGUCGUCAACGAC